ensembl:rRNA 5S_rRNA 5S ribosomal RNA
GCUUACGACCACACCGGCCUGAGUACGCCUGAUCUCGUCUGAUCUGAAGCUAAGCAGGGUCGGGCCUGGUUAGUACUUGGAUGGGAGACUUCCUGGGAAUACCAGGUGCUGUAAGCU